rnacentral:rRNA from 1 species
ACGGCUCAGUAACACGUAGUCAAUCUACCCUAUGGACGGGAAUAACCUCGGGAAACUGAGAAUAAUGCCCGAUAGAACAUUAUACCUGGAAUGGUUUAUGUUCCAAAUGAUUUAUCGCCAUAGGAUGGGACUGCGGCCUAUCAGUUUGUUGGUGAGGUAAUGGCCCACCAAGACUAUUACAGGUACGGGCUCUGAGAGGAGUGGCCCGGAGAUGGGUACUGAGACACGGACCCAGGCCCUAUGGGGCGCAGCAGGCGAGAAAACUUUGCAAUGUGCGAAAGCACGACAAGGUUAAUCCGAGUGGUUUCUGCUAAAGAAACCUUUUGUCAGUCCUAGAAACACUAACGAAUAAGGGGUGGGCAAGUUCUGGUGUCAGCCGCCGCGGUAAAACCAGCACCUCAAGUGGUCAGGAUGGUUAUUGGGCCUAAAGCAUCCGUAGCUCGUUUUGUAAGUUUUCGGUUAAAUCCAUGCGCUUAACGUAUGGGCUGCCGGGAAUACUGCAUAACUAGGAAGUGGGAGAGGUAGACGGUACUCGGUAGGAAGGGGUAAAAUCCUUUGAUCUAUUGAUGACCACCUGUGGCGAAGGCGGUCUACCAGAACACGUUCGACGGUGAGGGAUGAAAGCUGGGGGAGCAAACCGGAUUAGAUACCCGGGUAGUCCCAGCUGUAAACUAUGCAAACUCAGUGAUGCAUUGGCUUGUGGCCAAUGCAGUGCUGCAGGAAGCCGUUAAGUUUGCCGCCUGGGAAGUACGUACGCAAGUAUGAAACUUAAAGGAAUUGGCGGGGGGAGCAC